rnacentral:lncRNA from 1 species
GUCCCACAAGUGAAGAGGCAGCAGUGCUCAUGUGAACAUGGAGCGCUCACCCCAGCCCCUCAGCACAGCCAGGGGGCCUUGGGGUACACACCCUCCUUCCCUGGGGCCGCCAGCACCUCCUCUGCCCUAUCCCGGAUGGGGCCUGGGGGUCUGCCCAGGGUGCGAAACUGGAAUCUAUGCUGAAACACCUAAGUGCCCAGGAGGUGCCCCCAUGGCCCAGGAGUGACACGGCUCCCCCAGCAGCCAGAGCCCAUUCCUGAGCCAGACAGGUCACGGUUGACCCAGGAAGAGCCAUGUGCCAGGAUGGCCGCCAAGCCUCACUGAGCAUGUGCAGCAGUGGCAGCCUCUCAGACAUAGAGGGGGCUCCCUGGGUGACAUCUCCAGAGACCCCCUUGUCCCCCAGACACCCCUGGGUAGACUGUGUCUGACCCUUCACAAAUAGGAAAUGAGAGCUCGGGUCGAAAUGCUCACAAUUUCCUGCGUGUCUCAGAUGGUUGUUUUCUUAAAUGGUCGGGCCAUACUUUAACUUGGUUUAUGGAAAUGAAUCCAUUUCAAGAUUCAUCAAAUCAAUAAGGUAAAAAGGAAAAAGAAAGAUAAUAAACAUUCAAUCUAACUUUGGUGACGUUGGCCUCAGGAAUUUCUGUGCUGGCCUGGAGCUCUGGGCAGGUGGGGAGGGACUGGCUUCUAGCCCUCCUCCUGCUUCCCCGAGGCAGAGACCAAGUUUGUCCUUUCUACCUGGCCCUGGAGAAGGGGCUCAGGGCCACUGCCUCGUUCCAACCCAGGAAGGCCAGCUGCCUUCCACAUCAGUCUGAGGCAUUCAGCUUGACCUUUUUGGGUUGAAAUCUGGGUUGCAGCUUCUCAGCUUUGCCCACAAAGCUCCAGAUGACAAGAGGCUGAGCCCCAGCUUUGACAGUGAGGGGAGUACCUGGAGGUAUCAGCGUGCCAGAGCUGGAUGAGGGCUGGGGGCUCCUCCCAAAAUACUCAGAUGGGGGUUUCCAUUUUCCUUCUAUAAAUCAAAGUUGCUGGUGCUCGCAGCCCCCGUGCAGGGUGGCUGGGGCUGUGUAUCACAAGGCAGCCCAAGACCCCCUGGUCCCCAGAUCCUCCCAGGUCAGAAUCAACUGAAGUUUUGGGGUGAAGACACAGGAAAGAACGUGUGUGUAUAUUGCUAGAAACAGUCUGGAAGUGGGUAGGACUCGGUCUGGAGCAAUAUCAUUGGCCCAGCUGACCUCUUUAGUGCAAAACCCAAUCAAGGGUGCCGAGGAGAGGCAACCGCGGGGUGGGAUGGGCACUCAGGAACUGGGUUGAUUCCCAGGCUGGAACUGGUGCCAUUCCCCAGGGCCAGACAUCAGAGAUGGGCAGUGUGGAGGGGAGGAGGGGGCAGCAGAGAGGGGUCCCAUCCCUUCCCACCAGCAGAACC